GUGCCAGCCGCCGCGGUAAUACGGAGGGGGGAAGCGUUAAUCGGAAUUACUGGGCGGAAAGCGCACGCAGGUGGUUAAUUAAGUUAGAUGUGAAAUCCCUAAGCUUAACUUAGGAACUGCAUUUGAAACUGAUUAGUUUAUUAGUUUUGUAGAGGGGGGUAGAAUUCCAGGUGUAGCGGUGAAAUGCGUAGAGAUCUGGAGGAAUACCAGUGGCGAAGGCGACCCCCUGGACAAAGACUGACACUCAUGUACGAAAGCGUGGGGAGCAAACAGGAUUAGAUACCCUGGUAGUCCAUGCUGUAAACAAUGUCAAUUUGAAGGUUGUAGCCUUGAGUUAUAGCUUUCGUAGCUAACGCGUUAAAUUGACCGCCUGGGGAGUACGGCCGCAAGGUUAAAACUCAAAAUGAAUUGACGGGGGCCCCGCACAAUCGGUGGAGCAUGUGGUUUUAAUUCGAUGCAACGCCAAAAACCUUACCUAUUCUUGACAUCCAAAAGAACUAAAACAGAAAUGUUUUUAGUGCCUUAGGGAACUUUUGAGACGGGUGCUGCAUGGCUGUCCUCAGCUCGUGGUUGUGUAAAUGUUGAGGUUAAGUUCCGCAACGAGCGCAACCCCCUAUCCUUUGUUGGCCAUCGAGUUAAGGCCGCG
rnacentral:rRNA from 1 species